rnacentral:rRNA from 1 species
GUGCGUAGGCGGCCAAUUAAGUCAAAUGUGAAAUCCCCGAGCUUAACUUGGGAAUUGCAUUCGAUACUGGUUGGCUAGAGUAUGGGAGAGGAUGGUAGAAUUCCAGGUGUAGCGGUGAAAUGCGUAGAGAUCUGGAGGAAUACCGAUGGCGAAGGCAGCCAUCUGGCCUAAUACUGACGCUGAGGUACGAAAGCAUGGGGAGCAAACAGGAUUAGAUACCCUGGUAGUCCAUGCCGUAAACGAUGUCUACUAGCCGUUGGGGCCCUUGAGGCUUUAGUGGCGCAGCUAACGCGAUAAGUAGACCGCCUGGGGAGUACGGUCGCAAGACUAAAACUCAAAUGAAUUGACGGGGGCCCGCACAAGCGGUGGAGCAUGUGGUUUAAUUCGAUGCAACGCGAAGAACCUUACCUGGCCUUGACAUACAGAGAACUUUCCAGAGAUGGAUUGGUGCCUUCGGGAACUCUGAUACAGGUGCUGCAUGGCUGUCGUCAGCUCGUGUCGUGAGAUGUUGGGUUAAGUCCCGCAACGAGCGCAACCCUUUUCCUUAUUUGCCAGCACUUCGGGUGGGAACUUUAAGGAUACUGCCAGUGACAAACUGGAGGAAGGCGGGGACGACGUCAAGUCAUCAUGGCCCUUACGGCCAGGGCUACACACGUGCUACAAUGGUCGGUACAAAGGGUUGCUACACAGCGAUGUGAUGCUAAUCUCAAAAAGCCGAUCGUAGUCCGGAUUGGAGUCUGCAACUCGACUCCAUGAAGUC